rnacentral:rRNA from 1 species
AAGCGAAAUAGUGAUAUAGAGCAAAACCCUAAAAACGGUCUCAGUUCGGAUUGAAGGCUGAAAUUCGCCUUCAUGAAGCUGGAAUUGCUAGUAAUGGCAGGUCAGCAUACUGCCGUGAAUACGUUCCCGGGUCUUGUACACACCGCCCGUCACACCAUGGGAGUUGGAAAUGCCCGAAGCCUGUGAGCUAACGAAAGAGGCAGCAGUCGAAGGUAGAAUCAAUGAUUGGGGUGAAGUCGUAACAAGGUACC